GAUGAACGCUGGCGGCGUGCCUAAUACAUGCAAGUCGAGCGAACGGACGAGAAGCUUGCUUCUCUGAUGUUAGCGGCGGACGGGUGAGUAACACGUGGAUAACCUACCUAUAAGACUGGGAUAACUUCGGGAAACCGGAGCUAAUACCGGAUAAUAUUUUGAACCGCAUGGUUCAAAAGUGAAAGACGGUCUUGCUGUCACUUAUAGAUGGAUCCGCGCUGCAUUAGCUAGUUGGUAAGGUAACGGCUUACCAGGGCAACGAUGCAUAGCCGACCUGAGAGGGUGAUCGGCCACACUGGAACUGAGACACGGUCCAGACUCCUACGGGAGGCAGCAGUAGGGAAUCUUCCGCAAUGGGCGAAAGCCUGACGGAGCAACGCCGCGUGAGUGAUGAAGGUCUUCGGACCGUAAAACUCUGUUAUUAGGGAAGAACAUAUGUGUAAGUAACUGUGCACAUCUUGACGGUACCUAAUCAGAAAGCCACGGCUAACUACGUG
rnacentral:rRNA from 1 species